rnacentral:rRNA from 1 species
GGCUCGUAAAGCUCUGUUGUUGGUGAAGAAGGACAGGGGUAGUAACUGACCUUUGUUUGACGGUAAUCAAUUAGAAAGUCACGGCUAACUACGUGCCAGCAGCCGCGGUAAUACGUAGGUGGCAAGCGUUGUCCGGAUUUAUUGGGCGUAAAGCGAGUGCAGGCGGCUCGAUAAGUCUGAUGUGAAAGCCUUCGGCUCAACCGGAGAAUUGCAUCAGAAACUGUCGAGCUUGAGUACAGAAGAGGAGAGUGGAACUCCAUGUGUAGCGGUGAAAUAUAGCAGUAGGGAAUUCCAUGCG